rnacentral:rRNA from 1 species
UACGUAGGGGGCAAGCGUUGUUCGGAAUUAUUUGGCGUAAAGCGCUCGUAGGCGGGACUGGAAGUCCGUGUUGAAAGACCUCGGCUCAACUGAGGGACCGGCUCGGAUACUCUAGUUCUUGAGGCAAUCAGAGGGUGAUGGAAUUCCCGGUGUAGCGGUGAAAUGCGCAGAUAUCAGGAGGAACACCGAUGGCGAAGGCAGGUCUCUGGGCCACUACUGACGCUGAGAAGCGAAAGCAUGGGGAGCGAACAGG